AGGUUAAGACACCGCCCUUUCACGGCGGUAACAGGGGUUCAAUUCCCCUACGAGUCA
rnacentral:tRNA from 15 species